GAUGAAGAACGUAGCGAAAUGCGAUACUUGGUGUGAAUUGCAGAAUCCCGUGAACCAUCGAGUCUUUGAACGCAAGUUGCGCCCGAAGCCAUCAGGUUGAGGGCACGUCUGCCUGGGCGUCACAUAUCGUUGCCCAAUGCCUAUUGCAGUGCAAUAGGAAUUUCUAGGGCGAAUGAUGGCUUCCCGUGAGCGUUGUUGCCUCGCGGUUGGUUGAAAAUCGAGUCCUUGGUAGGGUGUGCCAUGGUAGAUGGUGGUCGAGUUAGAACGAUACCGAUCAUGUGCAUGCUCCCCAAAAUAUGGCCUCUAUGACCCACACGCGUCUUUUGACGCUCAUGACGAGACCUCAGGUCAGGCGGGGCUACCCGCUGAAUUUAAGCAUAUCAAUGCGGAGGA
rnacentral:misc_RNA from 1 species